GCGUAAGUAACAAUAAUCCUUUUGAAGUUGAGAUUGCCACCUGGCCAUUGGGGCUUCCCAUGGAAUUAGAUUGAGAGGUACCUACUGAGUGAUUAUGUUUAUGGAAAGGAAGUAGGGUCAUUGUUAUGCAGUGAAGCCAGGGAAGACUGUGCUUUGGACCCAGGGGAAUUCCAUGGAUACCUCUAAAAAUUCAAGUAAAAAAGUGUCAUAGAAGACUAGAGUAACCCAAAGGAACCCUACUAAAGAGAAACACAUACAUAGUCCAAAAUUGUAGGUAUCAACAAGCUUUUAGCCACAAGGAAAAAUUGAAAAUGCCCUAAUGGUCUAUCAGUAACAUAUUGCUUAAAUAAACCCUGAGUUGUCCAUAUGCACCUGAAAGGAAUGAAGGCAACUGACAAGGAAGGAUCAUCAAGGGUACUGCCCAAUGUUCUGCUACUGGAAAGAUUUCCCUUUGCUAUUGUCUUUACCACCAUCGAGAAUGAGGCUAUAGUGCAGCAGCCAUGUACUUUUUAAUGGCCACUAUGACCAAAAGUAUCAGUCCUGAAGCCAUCAGAUAUGGCUACCAGACUGAAGGCCUGGCUCCUUUCUGGGAGGAGAAAAUGGAAAUCUGUCACCCUGGCACCCUGACUCCCCUGCCUUCACUCCAGCACAGUCCAUGAUCUGCCUGGCUUCCCAGGCUACUCCAGGCGCCUCUGCAUAUGGAGCUGCUAUAUCUCCUCUCUAGAUAGUCUCGGUAUUUUUGUUUCUAAUUUUAACCUCAUUCAGAUUCUCCACCUGCGCUUCCCCAUAAUGUCUCCUGGUUCUUUCAUGUUGCAUUUGGCUCUCGGCUGGGUUUGCAACUCCUCCCAACUUAGCAACAUCUGAAAAUUUAAUUAGCAAGUGGUUGUCUCCUUCUUCCAUAUAAUUAAUGAAGAUGUUAAAAUAAAACUGGAUUAAGAACUUA